AUGGAAAAACACCUGUUUCUGAUUUUAAUUCUGACUUCAGGUGUGAUGACUGCAGACAAGAUUGGGGCAAAUAAAGAAACUGUUAUAAAUAAGGAAGACGAGACUGUGACCCUCAGCUGCUCAUAUGAAACAGACAGCAAUUAUGUCAGACUUUACUGGUACAGACAGUAUCCUAAUGGAGAGCCUCAGUAUUUAAUGUGGAAAGAGGCUCGUUCAUGGAGUGAUACUGGGAAACCCUCUGAUCCUCGCUUUCAGUCGACUACAUCACGAACAUCCACUGAACUCAUUAUUAACAGUGUGACUCUGUCAGAUUCAGCUCUCUAUUAUUGUGCUCUGAGAGUUGGAGCCCAGUGA